ACCCAUACGGUACUAAACCAUUCAAUAGGCAUUAACAGAACCAUAGAGUUUACUUGAUUCAUUAAAUAUUUAAUGGGCCAAGCCCAUAAAAUAUCUAACAAUCCCCACCAAACUCUAGGGUUCGAUGCAAACCACACUCAGUACCACAUUCUUUUCAUAUUCCAGAGUUUCGAUGGAGACUGUUAAGUUGAACAUCCAUCUAGAGCAAUAGCAACACUCAGCCACAACCGAACAAUGGACAAAACCUUGAAUUGAUAGUUUUGUGUGAGAUGAGUUUUACUAGAGCCCUUAUCUGGUACUGGGCAGCAAAGAGCAUCUCCUCUGUUUGAAGCAUAUAAGUCACACUUCUUAGCCUUUUUAUGAGUAUCUAGAGAUGACCCAUAUCUCAUAGAUUGUGACUAGCAAUCGAACUCAUAUGGGUGUGUUUCUUAUAGGAUGUUCUAUAGGACAAUAUCCCUGCUUGACCAAGCCACUUGGAUCACAUUAAGAAUUUAUUCAACCUUCGGUACAGCAUUGGAGAAGCGGUGCAUCUCAAACGAGCUAGAUUUUAAUCUAAGGAGUUUCUCCCUCAGUCAUCCACGGGCAUGUUUUGCCAUCCUAAUUCACGUGAUCUCCAAUCACAUAGGACAAGUUUCCACUAUCAAAUGACUUCAAGUGGAUCUCAAGCUUAACUCCCUCGACGCACCUUCUAUCACAUUGCAUGAUAGACCCUUUGUAAACUUAUCUACCAGAUUCUUAGUUGUAUGGGCAUAGUCCAAUGCAAUUACUCCAGAGUUUCUCAAUUUUCUUACAGUCUUCAGACACCUUUUCACAUGCCUUGUAGACUUCAUGUUGACCUUAUAACUGUUCAUUUUUGUUAUCACAGUUUUGUUGUCACAGUUCAUAGAAAUAGCCAGUAUAGUGAAAGGUCCUUGUUUGGUUUUGGUAAUUGAAUGACAACUUAGGUGGACUGAUAGUGUUUAUGAGAGAUACACAGGAGAUUAGUCCACAUGUGAUGAUGUGAU
rnacentral:lncRNA from 1 species